CAGAUUUUCUUCAAAUAAUUUUAUGCAACCAAUCCAAGCGCACAUCUAACUAAGCAAAGGGGUGAAUCCAAUCCUAUUCUCUAACCUUCCUUUGCGAUGACCUUAGCCAACCGCUCAUCAUUCCACCAAGCACGUAUUGCUCGGCUGAUUUGCAUAAGACCGGAAUGCUGAAGAUGAAACCACAUUCCUCGUGCCACUUAAUAGCAAUGAAAGAACGUCUAAUCGUUCUAUUCGGUAGACGUCUCUGAUCAUCUCGACUACUAUUUUGCGAGGCUUGGAAUUGUAUGAAUUUCUUCUCUGAUGGAUGCUAAAGGGUUAAUAGUUGAUGAUUGUUCAACGAAGAAAACGUUCUUUCACGCGAGGUCAGAGAAGAAAAGAGGGCAGUAAAGAUCAAGUGAUCAUCAUCGAUUGUUCCCUACAGCGAAAUUCGAUAUUUAAUAAAUCCGAUCGUAUUCAAGCUUGGAAAUGUUGAACACGCUCGUAUUUAGUUUCACCUCUGUUUCGCAUAAAUUGUCUCGUGUCCACGCGCGGUACGCGCGAUAAAUCCACGAGUGCCGGCUGACACGCGUCUUUCCCUGUGUCGUAAAGCAAUUAAAGUGACGAGGAUGAUGCAGAGACAUGUGAUACGUCUGCGAGCGAUGGUUUUACAAACUUGAAAAUGUCGGAGCCCCAUUAAAUUCGAAGCAGAUGCAUAUAAAAGAAAUAUGCCCAUUUCAUAAAUUACAUGAUAAUAUAAACCGAAAUUACUGAUCCAACCUUAUGUAAUCGUGAAUUUGAUGGGCCAAAAUGUAAGUCUGAAAGAAGGUAAAUCUAAAGAGGAAUUCUUGAAUUCUUUUGUCAUAAUCAAUCUUCUUUUAUGGACAUUCAAAUCAAAUAUUGAUGAAUUUUUGAAUGAAUAUUAAACUGAUAAAACGAAUAUGAA